rnacentral:rRNA from 1 species
CCUACGGGAGGCAGCAGUGAGGAAUAUUGGUCAAUGGACGUGAGUCUGAACCAGCCAAGUCGCGUGAAGGAUGACUGUUCUAUGGAUUGUAAACCUCUUUUAUAAGGGAAUAAAGUGCGGGACGUGUCCCUUUUUGUAUGUACUUUAUGAAUAAGGAUCGGCUAACUCCGUGCCAGCAGCCGCGGUAAUACGGAGGAUCCGAGCGUUAUCCGGAUUUAUUGGGUUUAAAGGGUGCGUAGGUGGCUUGUUAAGUCAGUGGUGAAAGUUUGGGGCUCAACCAUAGAAUUGCCGUUGAUACUGGCAGGCUUGAGUAUGUUUGAGGCAGGCGGAAUUCGUGGUGUAGCGGUGAAAUGCUUAGAUAUCACGAAGAACCCCGAUUGCGAAGGCAGCCUACCAAGCUAUGACUGACAUUGAUGCACGAAAGUGUGGGGAUCAAACAGGAUUAGAUACCCUAGUAGUC